ACGGAAGGCAGCAGUGGGGAAUAUUGCACAAUGGGCGAAAGCCUGAUGCAGCGACGCCGCGUGAGUGAAGAAGUAUUUCGGUAUGUAAAGCUCUAUCAGCAGGGAAGAAAAAUGACGGUACCUGACUAAGAAGCACCGGCUAAAUACGUGCCAGCAGCCGCGGUAAUACGUAUGGUGCAAGCGUUAUCCGGAUUUACUGGGUGUAAAGGGAGCGCAGGCGGUACGGCAAGUCUGAUGUGAAAGCCCGGGGCGCAACCCCGGUACUGCAUUGGAAACUGUCGAACUAGAGUGUCGGAGGGGUAAGCGGAAUUCCUAGUGUAGCGGUGAAAUGCGUAGAUAUUAGGAGGAACACCAGUGGCGAAGGCGGCUUACUGGACGAUAACUGACGCUGAGGCUCGAAAGCGUGGGGAGCAAACAGGAUUAGAUACCCUGGUA
rnacentral:rRNA from 1 species